rnacentral:rRNA from 1 species
UUGAUUAGUGGCGAACGGGUGAGUAACACGUGGGCAACCUGCCCCUGACUCUGGGAUAACUACUCGAAAGAGUAGCUAAUACCGGAUAUGAAACCUGAAGACAUCUUCGGGUUUGGAAAGUUUUUCGGUCAGGGAUGGGCCCGCGGCCUAUCAGCUAGUUGGUGAGGUAGUGGCUCACCAAGGCGACGACGGGUAGCCGGCCUGAGAGGGCGACCGGCCACACUGGGACUGAGACACGGCCCAGACUCC